UACGGAGGGUGCAAGCGUUAUCCGGAUUCACUGGGUUUAAAGGGUGCGUAGGUGGGCAGGUAAGUCAGUGGUGAAAUCUCCGAGCUUAACUCGGAAACUGCCAUUGAUACUAUCUGUCUUGAAUAUUGUGGAGGUCAGCGGAAUAUGUCAUGUAGCGGUGAAAUGCUUAGAUAUGACAUAGAACACCUAUUGCGAAGGCAGCUGGCUACGCAUAUAUUGACACUGAGGCACGAAAGCGUGGGGAUCAAACAGG
rnacentral:rRNA from 1 species